rnacentral:misc_RNA from 1 species
GCAAACUUGGUCAUUUAGAGGAAGUACAAGUCGUAACAAGGUUUCCGUAGGUGAACCUGCGGAAGGAUCAUUAACAAAUGAUGUGAUUUGAAUUUAUAUCAAAUCAACAUAAGUGCUCCGGGUUUACUCGGUUGCAUCAUAUAUAUUCAUGAUAUUGUGAUUUUAGUGUAAUUUAAAUUUAAAGAACACUUUUAACAAUGGAUCUCUUGGCUCUUGCAUCGAUGAAGAACGCAGC